rnacentral:rRNA from 1 species
CAGGAUGAACGCUGGCGGCGUGCCUAACACAUGCAAGUCGAGCGAUUUACUUCGGUAAAGAGCGGCGGACGGGUGAGUAACGCGUGGGUAACCUGCCUCAUACACAUGGAUAACAUACCGAAAGGUAUGCUAAUGCAGGAUAAUAUAAGAGAUUCACAUGGAUUUCUUAUCAAAGCUCCGGCGGUAUGAGAUGGACCCGCGUCUGAUUAGCUAGUUGGUAAGGUAAUGGCUUACCAAGGCGACGAUCAGUAGCCGACCUGAGAGGUGAUCGGCCACAUUGGAACUGAGACACGGUCCAAACUCCUACGGGAGGCAGCAGUGGGGAAUAUUGCACAAUGGGCGAAAGCCUGAUGCCAGCAACGCCGCGUGAGUGAUGAAGGCCUUCGGGUCGUAAAACUCUGUCCUCAAGGAAGAUAAUGACGGUACUUGAGGAGGAAGCCCCGGCUAACUACGUGCCAGCAGCCGC